rnacentral:rRNA from 1 species
ACUCAAAGGAAUUGACGGGGACCCGCACAAGCAGCGGAGCAUGUGGUUUAAUUCGAAGCAACGCGAAGAACCUUACCAGGGCUUGACAUCCCUCUGACCGGCGUGUAACGGCGCCUUCCCUUCGGGGCAGAGGUGACAGGUGGUGCAUGGUUGUCGUCAGCUCGUGUCGUGAGAUGUUGGGUUAAGUCCCGCAACGAGCGCAACCCUUGUCAUUAGUUGCCAGCAGGUUAAGCUGGGCACUCUAGUGAGACUGCCGGGGAUAACUCGGAGGAAGGUGGGGAUGACGUCAAAUCAUCAUGCCCCUUAUGUUCUGGGCUACACACGUGCUACAAUGGCCGGUACAGAGAGAAGCAAUACUGCGAAGUGGAGCAAAACUCUAAAACCGGUCCCAGUUCGGAUUGCAGGCUGAAACCCGCCUGCAUGAAGUCGGAGUUGCUAGUAAUCGCGAAUCAGAAUGUCGCGGUGAAUGCGUUCCCGGGUCUUGUACACACCGCCCGU